CCUACGGGUGGCAGCAGUGGGGAAUAUUGCACAAUGGGGGAAACCCUGAUGCAGCGACGCCGCGUGAGUGAUGAAGUAUUUCGGUUUGUAAAGCUCUAUCAUCAGGGAAGAUAAUGACGGUAUCUGACUAAUAAGCACCGGCUAACUACGUGCCAGCAGCCGCGGUAAUACGUAGGGUGCAAGCGUUAUCCGGAUUUACUGGGUGUAAAGGGAGCGUAGACGGCAGUAUAAGUCAGGAGUGAAAUGCCGGGGCUUAACCCCAGAACUGCAUUUGAAACUGUGCAGCUAGAGUGCGGGAGAGGUAAGUGGAAUUCUUAGUGUAGCGGUGAAAUGCGUAGAUAUUAGGAGGAACACCAGUGGCGAAGGCGACUUACUGGACUGUAACUGACGUUGAGGCUCGAAAUCGUGGGGAGCAAACAGGAUUAGAUACCCUGGUAGUC
rnacentral:rRNA from 1 species